AAAUACAACAGAACAGAAAGGAAAUAGGAAAGAUCAACAGAGAUCCAAUACUGCUAUAUAAAAAAGGAAAUUAUAUUUCAUUAUCAUUGAAUCAGUAUACAACAAACAAACCCAUUAACUAAAAUCAUAUCAAGCACAGGCACAAGGAUUAUCAACGCUGACAUCAUCCUCAUCGCCGAUCCUGAACAGCAAAUAUCCGAUCGCCAAACCCAGAACAAUAGCAACAAAAACGCCGCCGUUGAAUGACAUAACAGCCAACAUAAGCAUAUACCCAAUUGCCGAAUUGAUCCCAAAAACGAUCGCCGUAGCGAAUCUCGCCGAGUUCCACUUACCGCCGACGGUCGGGAAAGUGUAAAGAAGGGGAGCAUUCACAGCGGCGCUAGGCGGCGAAGGGUAAUUCCUCCUGAAACUGGCAGAGAUAAUCCUGAAUCGUUGACGACGAUCUUCCAUAUACUGAUAAAAUAGGGCGAAGAUAAAACAAGCAAGUAAAGUAAUUGCAUAGCUAGCCCAUGAAUCAGUUCUCCAGAAAUCGAACAAAAGGGUUACUUUUUUACCCCAAUAAAAGGUCAUGUGCAUCAUUUUUGCUUUCCGAUUUUGAGUUCUUGCCGAUUUGGGUUCUUGGAGAAGAUGGGUUUACGGAGAAAAUGGGUAUUUUGUUGAUUCGUUGGGCAAAGUAUGGGCCUUUUGAUAUGAUUCGUUCGAUUCGAUGAUGAUAAGGUGUGACAGAAUGAUGAGAAUAUAAGAUGAAAGAAGAGGAGAAUUGGG
rnacentral:misc_RNA from 1 species